CACAGGCCCUAAGGCCUGAGAGAGAAGAAUGUUCUCCUGGGCCAGCUGCAAGGCUCCACUGCUGUGCUCAGCCACAGCACACUGCUGCCUGCAUCCCUGCAGCUCCAGCUCCAGCCAUGGCUGAAACCCUCCAUGGGAAAGCUUUUCUAGGGCAUUACAGAAGGAACAUAUAGAGUUGGAACCCCCACACAUGGAGGCACCAUUCUGCAAACCCAGAUUCAUAGACCUACCAAGAGGCUCAGAGGCAGAAGGGACUGCAGCCUUGUGUCAGAUAAGACUUUGGGCUUUGGAUAUUCAGUAAAGGCUGGAAUGACUUAAGAUUUUGGGGGACUGUAGAGAAGGCAUCAUUGUAUUUUGCAGUGUGUCAAAGAUAUGAGAUUUGGGGGAACUAGGGUCAGAAUAAUAUGAUUUGGUUCUGUGUCCCUACCGAUACUCACGUGGAAUUGUAAUGGGGAAUAUGAAAGUUGGGACCUGGUGGAAGGUGAUUUAAUCAUGGUGAAGCAUGGGUGUUGGGCCGGUGUUGACUACCCAUAGCUUUUUCACACUGAGGGUGUGAGCUGUUGGUGGGUCUAUGAAUCUGGGGUCUGGAGGUUGGUGGCCAUCUGCGUGGGGGCUCCAAUUGGAUCUUUGUAAAGAAUUGUUAACUACUUGUGAUCAGAAGGCUAACAGGAAAAUGGUCAGUGAAAACCAGACUUGGAAGGUCUCAGAUAAUAAUGAGGAACUUACUGGGAACAGAAGCCAAGGUUACUUUUGUUUUGCUGUAGCAAAGAACAUGGCUGCAUGGUGACCCUGCCCUGGAGAUCUGUGAAACUUUAAACUUGAAGGUGAUGACUUAGUGCAUAUCUGGUGGAAUGAACUUCUAGGAAGCAAAGCUCAAGAGGUGUCUUGUCUGCAUCGAACAG
rnacentral:lncRNA from 1 species